rfam:Symbiobacterium thermophilum IAM 14863 DNA, complete genome.
UUCGGUGGAUGAUCGCGCCGGGCAGAUGGGGAGGCGCAAGCCGCAUGACCCGGAUGGCCCGGUGAGGAACUUCCUGGCACCGCUUCCGGUGAAGUCCGAGUCUGCCCCAGGCAGACGCAUCAGGACCCGUAGCCGGAAGAAAGUUGGCGCAGAGCGCAAGCUCUGGCGGCGCGAGCCGACGAUGGGGAAGGCGGUCUCGCCUGGUGCGAGUCGCUUGUACCUGUAACGAGCUAGAGAGACGCAGGUCCCCCGGCGACGGGGGAGUGGCACGGGCAAUCUCCGCCACGGUGCAAGUCCAAGUAGGCGCCUUUGAGCGCGGGUAGGACGCAGUCCCAGGAGUAAUCCGGGACCACGGUCUGGUCGGGCCGUGAGAUAAAUGAUCAUCACGCCCGCCGAAAGGCGGGCGGACAGAACCAGGGGUAUAGCC